rnacentral:rRNA from 1 species
AGUGAACGCUGGCGGUAGGCCUAACACAUGCAAGUCGAACGGCAGCACAGUAAGAGCUUGCUCUUACGGGUGGCGAGUGGCGGACGGGUGAGGAAUACAUCGGAAUCUACUUUUUCGUGGGGGAUAACGUAGGGAAACUUACGCUAAUACCGCAUACGACCUACGGGUGAAAGCAGGGGAUCUUCGGUCCUUGCGCGAUUGAAUGAGCCGAUGUCGGAUUAGCUAGUUGGCGGGGUAAAGGCCCACCAAGGCGACGAUCCGUAGCUGGUCUGAGAGGAUGAUCAGCCACACUGGAACUGAGACACGGUCCAGACUCCGACGGGAGGCAGCAGUGGGGAAUAUUGGACAAUGGGCGCAAGCCUGAUCCAGCCAUACCGCGUGGGUGAAGAAGGCCUUCGGGUUGUAAAGCCCUUUUGUUGGGAAAGAAAAGCAGCAGGUUAAUACCCCGCUGUUCUGACGGUACCCAAAGAAUAAGCACCGGCUAACUUCGU